rnacentral:lncRNA from 1 species
GGGUGCCACUGUGACCUGGAGAAAUUACAUAAAUCUUUAGGAUAGUUCUAGGUCUAUGGGAGACAACUCCUGAUCAAUUUUAUUUCCUAUAUAUAUAUAUCUAUAUAUAUUUUUCUUCUAUUUUUUUUUUUUAUUUCAAACAACAAUAUUUUCUAUAAUUUUCUUUCGUUCUUCAAAAAGGGAGUGCAAUAAAUUAGAUAAGUUUGAAGUAACAAACAAAUCUUCAGAUGAAAGAAUCCAAACAAAUUUCAUUUCAUCAGAUAAUCUUGAAAAAUUUUUGAAUUUAGAAUUUAAAUUAGAUAGAUGUUGAGAUCGAGUAUCUUUUAGAACAGGACAUUUUAAAAGAAAAUGUAGUUCGUCUUCAACUGCGUUCUUACAUAGCUUACACUUUCUGUCUUCAGCUUUAAUUCCAAUAUACCUCCCUCUUUCGAUUUCAAGAUCAUGACAGCUAGUUCUAAAUCUUGUGAUUAUUUGCCUGUCUUUUUUUUGAAUUCAUUUUUAAAUAUGGUUCAAACAUAAAAAUAUUUUUAAAUUUUCUGUAAGUUCUUAAUUUAUUGCCAGAUUGUAAAUUAGUA